UACGUAGGGUGCGAGCGUUGUCCGGAAUUAUUGGGCGUAAAGGGCUCGUAGGCGGUUUGUCGCGUCGGGAGUGAAAACCCAGGGCUUAACCCUGGGCUGGCUUCCGAUACGGGCAGACUAGAGGUAUGCAGGGGAGAACGGAAUUCCUGGUGUAGCGGUGAAAUGCGCAGAUAUCAGGAGGAACACCGGUGGCGAAGGCGGCUUUCUGGGUCUUACCUGACGCUGAGGAACGAAAGCUAGGGGAGCGAACGGG
rnacentral:rRNA from 1 species